GACGAACGCUGGCGGCGUGCUUAACACAUGCAAGUCGAACGGAAAGGCCCUGCUUUUGUGGGGUGCUCGAGUGGCGAACGGGUGAGUAACACGUGAGUAACCUGCCCUUGACUUUGGGAUAACUUCAGGAAACUGGGGCUAAUACCGGAUAGGAGCUCCUGCUGCAUGGUGGGGGUUGGAAAGUUUCGGCGGUUGGGGAUGGACUCGCGGCUUAUCAGCUUGUUGGUGGGGUAGUGGCUUACCAAGGCUUUGACGGGUAGCCGGCCUGAGAGGGUGACCGGGCACAUUGGGACUGAGAUACGGACCAGACUCGUACGGGAGGCAGCAGUGGGGAAUAUUGCACAAUGGGCGGAAGCCUGAUGCAGAAGCGCCGCGUGCGGGAUGACGGCCUUCGGGUUGUAAACCGCUUUCGCCUGUGACGAAGCGUGAGUGACGGUAAUGGGUAAAGAAGCACCGGCUAACUACGUG
rnacentral:rRNA from 1 species